UCAAAUCAUCUCACAGAGCAAAGUCAUCCCUGGUACCCCAAAGCCAAAAAGUCAGGUCAUACAACGAAACUGCCCAUGACUCUGGAAAUUCCACAAAGAAAACAGAACACUCCAAAAGCGGGAAACUGACUUUACGUUUACCAGAUCCACCAGGUCAAAUGUGAAGGUUUUCAAAUCACCAACGAGUCUCAUUUCGUAUGUGGAAAAGAAAACAUAAAGAGAGAGAUACAUUUUCAGCAUCUUGUGUUGCUGAAAUAUUCAAUUUCUAGUAAUUUCUCCAUUGAGCAUGUAAUUUUUUAUUUGAGUGAUGACCAUGACUAUUUUCACUAUUGACAGCUUCAGUCCUACUGCCAACCGUGUUAGUUACUUUACUUGUUUAAAUCUGAGUUGUU
rnacentral:lncRNA from 1 species